AGCCUCCCCUUUUAAAGAUCCAAAAUGGUGAUUUUACAGUGCAGCAUGCAGUGUGGUCAACAACGGAGAGUUUUGACACCCGUGAUACCCAUAUUUCCACCAUUCACCUCUGUAACCUUUGUUGAGUUCAUCAGACAGUCCAAGACAGGAAGUUGAGGAAUAAAGUUGACAGGACAUCCUGAACUGUCCUCGGUACUAGCUUAUGAGGGAACCAGCCGCAGUGGACAAAGCACGUUACAUCAUAGGAUAAUAGCAUUGAAAUGCAUUCUUGAACCAGAGCCAUGUGAACCUGGUCCACCUGUACCUCUCAUUGAAGACCUGUUAACAUCACCAGAGUAUGUUCAUUCUGAUACCCCUAUGGUAUGGUUACGACAUGCAUUAUCCCUGUCAGAUGAAGCCAUUAAAAGAGCUGCAUUGGCAACAAUUGGGCAACGAAACAACCCAAUGUGGUCGAUUGUAAGGAAAUACAGAAUAACAGCUUCCAACUUUGGUGCAGUUCUCAGUUCUAAGCAAAGGCGGUGAUUAA